rnacentral:lncRNA from 14 species
AGUUAAAUUAAUAUAAAAUAAAUGGAGUAAAGUUAAUGAAUAAAAAGUUAGAUUAAUAAUGAACAAAUAAGAUAAUACAAUAAAAUAAAAUCUUGAAAAACAAAAUUAAAUUAAAUGUUUAGAAAAUAAAAUAAAAUAAAAUAAAGUAAAAUAAAAUAAAAUAAAAUAAAAUAAAAUAAAAUGAAAUUAAAUUAGAUUAAAUUAAAUUAAAUCAAAUCCCCUUUGGGAUGGGCAGGCUCGGGGGGAUCCGAAAUUCCCAAAGAAAAUUCCCGAGGGGCGUCCGUGGACGAGGAGUUUUAAAAAAAUAUCUUUGAAACCAUCUGAGCUUAAAAAUAGACGCGAGUGAAGCUUAAAAUGCACCCGGAGCCGCCGGGGGAGUCCCUGGAGCUGCUGCUGGAGGUUCCGGAUGGUUCUGGAAGCCUUGGGGGGAUCCAGAGGGGCCCUCGGGGCGGUUCUGGAGGUUCCGGAGGAGUUCCAAAGGUUCUGGAGGGGAUCCAGAGGGGUCCUUGGAGUGGUUCUGGAGGUUCUGGAGGCUCUGGAGAAGUUCCAGAAGUUCUGGAGGAGAUCCAGAGGGGCCCUCGGAGCAGUUCUGGAGGUUCUGGAGGAGUUCUGGAGGUUCUGGAGAAGUUCCAGAAGUUCUGGGUGGUCCUGGAGGAGAUCCAGAGGGGUCCUUGGAGCAGUUCUGGAGGUUCUGGAGGAGUUCUGGAGGAGUUCUGGAGAAGUUCCAGAAGUUCUGGAGGGGAUCCAGAGGAGUCCUCAGAGCGGUUCUGGAGGCUCUGGAGAAGUUCCAGAAGUUCUGGAGGAGAUCCAGAGGAGUCCUCAGAGCGGUUCUGGAGGAGUUCUGGAGGCUCUGGAGAAGUUCCAGAAGUUCUGGGUGGUCCUGGAGGAGAUCCAGAGGGGUUCUCAGAGCGGUUCUGGAGGAGUUCCAAAGGGUCUGGAGGCCUUUGAGUGGUUCUGGGUGGUCCUGGAGGGGAUCCAGAGGGGUCCUUGGAGUGGUUCUGGAGGAGUUCUGGAGGCUCUGGAGAAGUUCCAGAAGUUCUGGGUGGUCCUGGAGGAGAUCCAGAGGGGCCCUUGGAGCGGUUCUGGAGGUUCUGGAGAGGUUGGAAUGGAUCCAGAGGUGUCCUUGUAGUGGUUUCGGAGGUUCUGGAUGGUUCUGGAGGAGUUCCAAAGGUUCUUGGAGGCCUUUGGGUGGUUCUGGAUGGUUCUGGAUGGUUCUGGAUGGUCAUGGAGGGGAUCCAGAGGAGUCCCUGGAGUGGUGCCAGAGGUUAAGGAGAAGUCCCGGAGGUUCUGGAUGGUUCUGGAGGGGUUGGGAUGAGUCCAGAAGAGUCCUUGGAAUGGUUUUGAAGAUGUCCCAGAGGUUCUGGAUGGUUCUGGAGGGGAUCCAGAGGGGUCCUCAGAGAGGUUCUGGAAUGUUCCAGAGGAGUUCCAAACGUUCUGGAAGUCUCAGAAUGGAUCCAGAGGGGUCCUUGGAACGGUUCUGGAGGUUCUGGAGGAGUUGGAAUGGAUCCAGAGGGGUCCAUGGAACGGUUCUGGAGGUUCUGGAGGAGUUGGAAUGGAUCCAGAGGGGUCCUUGGAACGGUUCUGGAGGUUCUGGAGGAGUUGGAAUGGAUCCAGAGGGGUCCUUGGAACGGUUCUGGAUGGUUCUGGAUGGUUCUGGAGGGAUUGGAAUUACUCCACAGGUGUCCUUGGAGCAGUUCCGGACCCCCAGGUUCAAUUCCGGACCUCCUGGAGAGGUUCUGGACCUCCAGGAUCAACUCUGGAUCUCCUGGAUCAGUUCUGGAUUGAUUCUGGAUCGCAUAGAUCAAUUCUCAAUCUCCUGGCUCAAUUCUGGAUCAGUUCUGGAUCUCCUGGAGCGGUUCUGAACCUCCAGGAUUGAUUCUGGGUCUCCUGGAUCGGUUCUGGAUCUAUUCUGGAUCUCCUGGGUCGGUUCUGGAUCUAUUCUGGAUCUCCUGGAGAGGUUCUGAACCUCCAGGAUCAAUUCUGGAUCUCCUGGAGCGGUUCUGGAUCCCCUGGAUCAGUUCUGAACCUCCAGGAUCAAUUCUGGAUCUCCUGGAUGGGUUCUGGAUCUCCUGGAGCAGUUCUGGAUCACCUGGUGAGGUUCUGGAGCGUUUCUGGAUCUCCUGGAGCGUUUCUGGAUCUCCUGGAGCGGUUCUGAACCUCCAGGAUUAAUUCUGGAUCUCCUGGCUCAAUUCUGGAUCUCCUGCGAGGUUCUGGAUCUCCUGCGAGGUUCUGGAUCUCCUGGCUCAAGUCUGAACCUCCAGGAGCGGUUCUGGAUCGGUUCUGGAUCUGCAGGAUCUGUUCUGGAUCUCCUGGGUCGGUUCUGGAUCUGCAGGAUCGGUUCUGAACCUCCAGGAGCGGUUCUGGGUUGGUUCUGGAUCUCCUGGAUCGGUUCUGAACCUCCAGGACUGAUUCUGGAUCUCCUGGGUCGGUUCUGGGUUGGUUCUGGAUCUCCUGGAUCAGUUCUGGAUCUCCUGGAUCGGUUCUGAACCUCCAGGGCUGAUUCUGGAUCUCCUGGGUCGGUUCUGGGUCGGUUCUGGAUCUCCUGAGAGGUUCUGGGUCGGUUCUGGAUCUCCUGGACGGGUUCUGAACCUCCCCGCUGAACCCCGGCCCUCCACCCCCUCCUGUCCCCCACCUGCCCCAGCCUCACGACCCCACCUCCGCCCCCUCCCCUUUCUCG